rnacentral:rRNA from 1 species
CCUACGGGAGGCAGCAGUAAGGAAUAUUGGUCAAUGGACGAAAGUCUGAACCAGCCAUGCCGCGUGAAGGAUGAAGGCCCUCUGGGUUGUAAACUUCUUUUAUCUGGGACGAAAAAAGCUCAUUCUUGAGCACUUGACGGUACCAGAGGAAUAAGCACCGGCUAACUCCGUGCCAGCAGCCGCGGUAAUACGGAGGGUGCAAGCGUUAUCCGGAUUCACUGGGUUUAAAGGGUGCGUAGGUGGGUCUGUAAGUCAGUGGUGAAAUCUCCGAGCUUAACUCGGAAACUGCCAUUGAUACUAUAGGUCUUGAAUCAUCUGGAGGUAAGCGGAAUAUGUCAUGUAGCGGUGAAAUGCUUAGAUAUGACAUAGAACACCAAUUGCGAAGGCAGCUUACUACGGGUGCAUUGACACUGAGGCACGAAAGCGUGGGGAUCAAACAGGAUUAGAUACCCUGGUAGUCCACGCCCUAAACGAUGGAUACUCGACAUCAGCGAUACACUGUUGGUGUCUGAGCGAAAGCAUUAAGUAUCCCACCUGGGAAGUACGACCGCAAGGUUGAAACUUAAAGGAAUUGACGG